rnacentral:rRNA from 1 species
CGCGCAGGUGGUCUAUCAAGUCUGGUGUGAAAGCCCAGGGCUCAACCCUGGAACUGCAUUGGAAACUAGUAGACUUGAGUCCAAGAGGGGUUAGUGGAAUUCCUGGUGUAGGGGUGAAAUCCGUAGAGAUCAGGAGGAACACCAGUGGCGAAGGCGACUGACUGGAUUGGAACUGACACUGAGGCGCGAAAGUGUGGGGAGCAAACAGGAUUAGAUACCCUGGUAGUCC